UGGAUCCAUCUCAUUGGCACCCGCAUCCCUAAAUCUAGGCUAAACUGAAACACCACAAACACGGGAAUCUCUGUUUUACUUUUACCAUAGCGGCGAUGGUAUGUUAGUCUCUCAUGAGCUAAUGAAGUUUAAAUUCAAUCAAUCACCACUCAUCUGUUUUUUAUUCUUCAAACCAAACCCUAACCAUCAGAAAUACUCAUCUCAAAUCAACAGAGCUUACAUGGCAACUUCAGUAGUCACUCCAAAUCCACCCUCCAUCGAAGAAGACCUUAACGAUGAUAAACUCUGUUCUAGUAUCAGUAGUUUCUCUCUUAAUGAAACUCAAAACCCACCCGAAUCUGUUUCUGUCUCUUCUUUAGAUAAAGAAGGUCGUAUUGAACGAGCAUGGGCACAUUGGAAGAAAUUAGGUGAACCUAAAUUGAUUGUUGCACCAAUGGUUGAUAAUUCUGAACUUCCUUUUCGGAUGCUUUGUCGUAAGUAUGGUGCUACAGCUGCUUAUACUCCUAUGCUUCAUUCUCGUAUAUUCACCGAGACUGAAAAAUAUCGCACAACCGAAUUUACUACCUGUAAGGAGGAUCGUCCGUUGUUCGUCCAAUUUUGUGCAAAUAAUCCUGAUACCUUACUUGAAGCUGCUCAGGUUGUGGCACCUCAUUGCGAUUAUGUCGACAUUAAUCUUGGAUGCCCACAACGAAUAGCAAGGCGAGGGUAUUACGGGGCUUUCUUAAUGGACAAUCUCCCUCUAGUCAAAUCACUGGUAGAAAAACUGGCGCAGAACCUUCCCGUCCCCGUUUCAUGCAAAAUUCGAGUUUUUCCAAAACUAGAAGAUACACUCGCUUAUGCCAGGAUGCUGGAGGAUGCUGGCUGUGCUCUCUUAGCUGUUCAUGGGCGAACUAGAGAUGAAAAGGAUGGGAGAAAAUUCCGAGCUGAUUGGUCUGCAAUCAAAGCUGUAAAAGAUGCAGUUAGGAUCCCAGUCCUGGCCAAUGGAAACGUACGCCACAUGGAAGAUGUCAAAAAUUGUUUGAAAGACACAGGAGUUGAUGGUGUUCUUUCUGCCGAAACUCUUCUUGAGAAUCCAGCUCUCUUUGCUGGAUUCCGGACAGCAGAAUGGAUUGAGGGCGAGGAAGAAAGUACUAAAGUUGGUGGAAUAGAUCAAGGAGAUUUAUUGGUGGAUUAUUUGAAGCUAUGUGAGAAAUACCCAGUGCCAUGGAGAAUGAUCCGCUCUCAUGUGCAUAAGUUGUUAGGUGAUUGGUUCAAAAUUCACCCAGAGGUGAGAGAAGAUUUCAACAAACAAUCAAUUCUCACUUUUGAGUUCCUCUAUGAUAUGGUGAAUAGGCUCAGAGAUCUCGGAACAACAGUUCCACUUUAUGUGAAGAAUACUGGUCUUGAGGUUUCAGCAAAUAACGAUUCUGAAAACGCAGUACGUGAUUCCUGAGUUUAUUUGAAAACAAAGCCAAGUGCCUAUCAUUUUAGAUGCCUGGCAAAACUGGUGCUAGACAAAAAAUUAGUUGCAGUUCCAGUUAGGUCCACAGACUACAAUUUGGUGCCUCUUACAUUUAUUUGUGACUUCACAAGGUGGCAACUAGAAAACAAAAAUAUGGGUCAAGUGUGAAGUCAUGCAAGGAAGACGAGUUUGGGAUCUUUCGUGAGAACGUGUCUGCUAUGGAAGUUCAGUUGCUGUGAUGUAAACUCUUCAUUUUUGGGUGGGAACAAAGUUUAUUCUGUUCUUGGUUCUUGGGCCCGCGUUAGAAUUAGAACCAUAAAGAAUGAUAUGAUUAAAUCUUGAUUAUCCCAUGUAUUAUGGAGAUUUUAGUGGGUUGCUUUAGUGGUGUUAGUGGUUGAAUUGAAAUGUGUAUGUGAUUUAAACCCAAUCAAAGAUCACGGACCUAUUGAAGGCGCACUGAUAGUACUCCAGUAGGUAGUAAAUGCCCCAUUUAUGUUUUAGGUUGUUGAUUGCAUUACUGAGUGAUAAAAGCUUAAAUUCCACAACUGAGAAAGAAUAAUAAAAACCACAAACAGUUCUU